CAAUCUCAUUUCAUCACUAUUUAACUGCAGCAAUUCAUGGCCAUGGAUGCACACUUCCUCCUUUUUCAGUGCUCCGGCUGCCUAGAGUUAGAAUCGCCUUCAUCACUCAUUUUUUCUUUUCGAUAAAAAUUCAAUGGAAUCAAACUUUUUUCCACUUUCAUUGUUUUUUUUUUUGUUUUUUUGAAGUACUGGUUUUUACUUCUUUCAGAAAAAUAUGUUUAAAAAAUAGAGGGCGAUGAAGAAGUUAUAUCAAGGUUCGCUCGUCGUACGUAAUGGCAAAAAAUUUCCUUGUCGAUUAUUUCUUAAUGCUAUGAGCCCUCUCUAUUUGUUAUUAUGUGCCUUGCUCACGCAAGUUUUUCCGUGUUUGUUUUUAUUUCGAUUUUAACUUGAUGAUGAUGAAAACAUCAAAGGUUCGCUCGUCCUACAAAAUGGCUUAUUUGUCUUGUUGAUUCAUUCGUCUUGAUGAUCUGAAUCCUUUUUUAUCGACAUUUUUACCUUAUGCCUCCACAUUUAAAGAAAUCAAAAUUGACAAUCAAGUCUAUUUUUGCUGAGAAAAUUAUUUAGAAUAUAUGUUUAACCUACGGAUCAAACUAAAAUGGGUAUGAAGUUUUUUUUGUUGGCAGGUUAAGGUUUAAAAUUCAAGUCUUUACAAUUAAUUUGUAAGGUCCUCAAAGAUCACGUGUGGUAGACAAAGGCCAUUUUGGUGAUUUCGUUCUUUCUAGUUUAUUUAUUACUGUGGUCUACAUCUCAUUUUUCUUUCAUAAAACAUUAAAAACUUAUUUGAAAAUUUUUAACAUUUAAUAUUUUAAAUGUAUUUCAUAAUUAUUUUAAUUUUUAGUUAAUAUAAAUUUUUAACAAUUGAAUAACAUAAAUAGGUAAAUUAACUACUUAUACUUUAUGUAAAAAUAUUAAAUGAAUUUUAUUUUAUUAAAAUUAAAAUAAAUUAUCUUUUUAUUAAAAAUUGAGAUAUUUAAAUUAGCAUAUUUAUUAAUCAAUUUUUUAAAGAAGGUAUGGCAAUUAGUUUUGCAACUUUGCUCCAUUCGUAGGAUGUAAAAAUUUUGAACCAAGAGUUAACUUGGGCAAUUUUGAAACUUAAAAAGUCUUUGCUUGUUGCUAUACUCAAGCUUACUUGGACUGCAUAUUUGUAUGUGAUAUGGAGACAGAAGAACAAGAGGUAUUUUGACACAUCUUUCUUGACUGAAGAUGUUAUCUUUGGUGCAGAUUAAAGAGAUUGUGCGAGUUCGUCUAGGAGAAAGACCAAUCAAUAGAACUAAUCUUAUUAAUGCUUCAUUUUGUGCUUCUUGAGAAUAUCAUUGGUUAAUUUGUUUGUAUAGCUUAAAAUUACUGCACAAUAUUUUUUUUCUUUUGUAACAAUUUAACUGCUUACUUAGAUUAAUGAAUUUCAUCAUUCAUAAAAAAGAAAAAAAGAAGAAGAAAUAUUGUUAUGGUAACAUAAUUUUACAAAAGUUCAAUGGCUUUGGGAGAAACUAUAUAAUUUUAGAGAUGAAAUGAAUUGGCUAUCAAAAUUCAGCUCCCAAGGAUGAUUUAAGAAAAGAAAAGAAAGUGCUGGUGGAAAGCAACAUCACAGGUGGACUAACUAAAGCAAGAGAAGUACUACUACAUUUACAACAUACAGAAGUAGAGUUGGCGUCUGAAACCCCUUUACACGGGCACAUCGCUUCGGAAACAGAUGUAAUAUACAUCAGUGCCUGCGCACGUUUGUUAUACAUUCUCUUUCACUAGCUAUUACUAUUAGUAUUGAAGUUCAUUAACCCUCAGUUUUACCCAUCAGCCACAUACCCAAAACCUAAAACCAUGGUGGGAAGGGAUAGCUUGCUUAUGCAGUCGCAGAAGCAUUGCGAGAGGAACCCCCUUGAUUGACCAAGAAUCGGACCACCACGCAAGUGAUAUUAUCUGCGCUACCUCUCUGGUAUGCCUCUUGCAUCAGCUGCUUUGCUGCCUGCUCUGGAUCCUGUAUUGGCUUUAUCAUUGCCACUGCCUCCUGGUCAAAGGCAAAGCAGCAGUUUAUUAGCUACGCUUCAUUUCUUCGAUUAGAACAAAAAAAGGGAACUCAGCAUAUUUCAACCAAGUCUUCUAACCAGACCUGAAUUUCUGGAUCAGCAACAACAUACUGCUUCAAGUGUCUGUCACCAAAUGCACGAGAAACAGCAAGAACACCUCCCACUCUCCAAGUUCCUACAGAUAUAAUUUCAGUUGCAAGCAUUUUAACACAUCAUAGCAGAAGCUUAAACAGAAAAAGGAGAGGAUGGUAAGACAGGAAAGAGAAAUGGAGAAAUGUAAAUCCACACCAGCCCACAUGACGAAUCCUCCUGCGUUCUCAAUCCGUUGUCGCUCAUCACUUUGAUCAGGCUUGUGAUCACGAGACACAGCAAUAGCUGAAAGAGGAAAUGCAAUAGAUAAGCCAUGUAUAAAAGAUCAAUUCAGCAAUCAAAUAAUAAUUUAACCAAGAUUUUCAAAAAAAAUCACGAAAUUUACAAACAAACAAAAAAAAAGGGCGAGCGAGCAAUUACAUAAGAUUGUUAAGUUAUACAGAAACAUAUGUAAGCCUUGUGAGCUUUCAUAUUACAAGUAAAACAAAAGGCAACUUCAUAUGGAUUGUCAUAGAUGGGAUCAGAAUAGAAAAGAAAAAAAAAAAAAAAG